rnacentral:misc_RNA from 1 species
CCGGCGGAACGGGAGGAUCGCCCUCUGGGAUUGGAAUAACCACCUGAUGAAGAAGCUCGGCCACGAUUCAUGAUUGGCGAGGGAAGUUUUGGCGGGAAAAAGGAAAAUUAAGGAGUAAGGUCAAUUGGCCAAUUGCUAGUAUGAACUAUGAGAAUGGUAAAGCAGCACUUGCAUGGAAAGAGAUAAAGAUGGAGAAGAAGCGAAUGAGAGAGAGAGAGAGAGAGAGAGAG